UUUCGAAUCAUUCACAAUGGGCGAAAGCCUGAUGGUGCGACGCCGCGUGAGGGAUGAAGGUCUUCGGAUUGUAAACCUCUGUCACCGGGGAAGAAACGCUUCAAGUUAACAGCCUGAAGCCUGACUUAACCCGGAGAGGAAGCAGUGGCUAACUCUGUGCCAGCAGCCGCGGUAAUACAGAGACUGCGAGCGUUAUUCGGAUUCACUGGGCGUAAAGGGUGCGCAGGCGGCCGUGUGUGUGAGGCGUGAAAGCCCGGGGCUUAACCCCGGAAUUGCACCUCAAACUACACGGCUAGAGCAUUGGAGAGGGUAGCAGAAUUCAUGGUGUAGCAGUGAAAUGCGUAGAUAUCAUGAGGAAUACCAGAGGCGAAGGCGGCUACCUGGACAAUUGCUGACGCUCAGGCACGAAAGCGUGGGGAGCAAAAG
rnacentral:rRNA from 1 species